rnacentral:pre_miRNA from 1 species
AAGGUUACUUGUUAGUUCAGGAUCUCAUUAUCUUUUGCCUGAACUAUAGGAGUAGCCUCUU